rnacentral:snoRNA from 1 species
CUCGGUGAUGACUCGCCCUGAUUUACUUUCCUUUUCCCGAAGCUGAGGGAAACCGUUGCGGAGAAACAUGGCCUGUCUGAGAG